rnacentral:ribozyme from 1 species
CAGGACCGCGCAGCCCCGCCGGAGGGUCUCCUGCCGGGCCCUGCCGGAGUCCGGCGACGCGAUCGCGCGGCAGGGCCUGCCGGGCGCGCAGGGCGGCCGCGGCCGUGAGGCGGCAUUGGCGAGGGCGGCCGUAAUGCGG